UCAAAAUGUGGUUUAAUUAAAAUAUUAGUUUUGGAGACUAAAGUUAAGUAUAAAACUUCUUUUUG
rnacentral:tRNA from 1 species